rnacentral:tRNA from 1 species
ACGACUUUAUAUGGCUGCACAGCAUCACCCUUUAACCUGAUUACGGAUCAGGAGGUUGGGGGUUCGAUUCCCUCAGGGCGUACCA